AACCCUUUUAGGUAGGAGGUACACAAACACUGCGUAAUACUAAAGAGUGUAUGAAUACAUAAUGUCCCCAUUAGGUAGGUGGUACACAAACACUACGUAAAACUAAAGAGUGUGUAAAGAUAUAACCUCCCUAUUAAAUGGUGCACUGCAACUACGUAAAACUACGUUGCGUAAAAACACAUUCCCUAUUAAAUGAUACGCAAACCCUGCGAAGAAUUGAAGAGAGUGUGUGAAGACACAAUAUCCCCAUUAAGUAGGUGGUACACAAACAUUGCGUAAUACUAAAGAGUGUAUGAAUACAUAAUGUCCCCAUUAGGUAGGAGGUGCAUAAACACUGCGUAAAACUACAGAGUGUGUGAAGAUAUAAUUUCCCUAUUAAAUGGUGCACUAAAUGUACGGAAAACUAAGGAGUGUGUGAAGACACAAAAACCCUUUUAGGUAGGAGGUACACAAACACUGCGUAAAACUAAAGAGUGUGUGAAAAUCUGAAUUCCCUAUUAAAUGGUGCACUAAAUCUAUGUAAAACUACGUUGCGUAAAAACACAUACGCAAACAGUGCGAAGAAUUGAAGAGAGUGUGUGAAGACACAAUAACCCUUUUAGGUAGAAGGUACACAAACACUGCGUAAAACUAAAGUGUGUGUGAAGAUAUGAUUUCCUUAUUAAAUGGUACGCAUAAACUACGUCAAAUUGAAGAGUGUGUGAAGACACAAAAACCCUUUUAGGUAGGAGGUACCCAAACACUGCGUAAAACUAAAGAGUGUGUGAAGAUAAAUCUACGUAAAACUACGUUGCGUAAAAACACAUUUCCUAUUAAAUAAUACGCAAACACUGCGAAGAAUUGAAGAGAGUAUGUGAAGACACAAUAUCCCUACUAAACUAUUAAACUACGACAAAUUAAGAAGCGUGUGAGGACAUAAUGUCCCUUUUAGGUAGGUGGUACACAAACACUACGUAAAACUAAAGAGUGUGUAAAGAUAUAACCUCCCUAUUAAAUGGUGCACUGCAACUACGUAAAACUACGUUGCGUAAAAACACAUUCCCUAUUAAAUGAUACGCAAACACUGCGAAGAAUUGAAGAGAGUGUGUGAAGACACAAAAGCCCUUUUAGGUAGGAGGUACACAAACACUGCGUAAAACUAAAGAGUGUGUGAAGAUAUGAUUUCCCUAUUAAAUGGUGCACUAAAUCUACGUAAAACUACGUUGCGUAAAGACACAUUCCCCAUUAAAUGAUACGCAAACACUGCGAAGAAUUGAAGAGAGUGUGUGAAGACUCAAAAGCCCUUUUAGGUAGGAGGUACACAAACACUGCGUAAUACUAAAGAGUGUAUGAAUACAUAAUGUCCCCAUUAGGUAGGAGGUGCAUAAACACUGCGUAAAACUACAGAGUGUGUGAAUAUAUGAUUUCCCUAUUAAAUAGUGCACUAAAUCUACGUCAAAUUAAGGAGUAUGUGAAGACACAAUUUCCCUAUUAGGUAGGUGGUACACUGUAACUACGUAAACCUAGAGUGUGUGAAGACACAAAAAGCCUUUUAGGUAGGAGGUACACAAACACUGCGUAAUACUAAAGAGUGUAUGAAUACAUAAUGUCCCCAUUAGGUAGCAGGUACAUAAACACUGUGUAAAACUAAAGAGUGUGUGAAGAUAUAAUUUCCCUAUUAAAUGGUGCACAUAGACUACGGUGCACUAAAUCUACGUAAAACUACGUUGCGUGAAAACACAUUCCCUAUUAAAUGAUACGCAAACCCUGCGAAGAAUUGAAGAGAGUGUGUGAAGACACAAAAGCCCUUUUAGGUAGGAGGUACACAAACACUGCGAAAACUAAAGAGUGUGUGAAAAUCUGAUUUCCCUAUUAAAUGGUGCACUAAAUCUACGUAAAACUACGUUGCGUGAAAACACAUUCCCUAUUAAAUGAUACGCAAACCCUGCGAAGAAUUGAAGAGAGUGUGUGAAGACACAAAAGCCCUUUUAGGUAGGAGGUACACAAACACUGCGUAAUACUAAAGAGUGUAUGAAUACAUAAUGUCCCCAUUAGGUAGGAGGUGCAUAAACACUGCGUAAAACUACAGAGUGUGUGAAGAUAUAAUUUCCCUAUUAAAUGGUGCACUAAAUCUACGUAAGACUAAGGAGUGUGUGAAGACACAUUUUCCCUAUUAGGUAGGUGGUACACUGUAACUACGUAAACCUAGAGUGUGUGAAGACACAAUAACCCUUUUAGGUAGGAGGUACCCAAACACUGCGAAAACUAAAGAGUGUGUAAAGAUAUAAUUUCCCUAUUAAAUGGUGUACUAAGACUACGUAAGACUAAGGAGUGUGUGAAGACACAUUUCCCCUAUUAGGUAGGUGGUACACUGUAACUACGUAAACCUAGAGUGUGUGAAGACACAAUAACCCUUUUAGGUAGGAGGUACACAAACACUGCGAAAACUAAAGAGUGUGUGAAGAUAUAAUUUCCCUAUUAAAUGGUGCACUAAAUCUACGUAAAACUACGUUGCGUGAAAACACAUUCCCAUUAAAUGAUACGCAAACCCUGCGAAGAAUUGAAGAGAGUGUGUGAAGACACAAAAGCCCUUUUAGGUAGGAGGUACACAAACACUGCGUAAUACUAAAGAGUGUAUGAAUACAUAAUGUCCCCAUUAGGUAGGAGGUGCAUAAACACUGCGUAAAACUACAGAGUGUGUGAAGAUAUAAUUUCCCUAUUAAAUGGUGCACUAAAUCUACGUAAGACUAAGGAGUGUGUGAAGACACAUUUUCCCUAUUAGGUAGGUGGUACACUGUAACUACGUAAACCUAGAGUGUGUGAAGACACAAAAACCCUUUUAGGUAGGAGGUACCCAAACACUGCGUAAUACUAAAGAGUGUAUGAAUACAUAAUGUCCCCAUUAGGUAGGAGGUGCAUAAACACUGCGUAAAACUCAAGAGUGUGUGAAUAUAUGAUUUCCCUAUUAAAUAGUGCACUAAAUCUACGUAAAACUACGUGCGUAAAAACACAUUCCCCAUUAAAUGAUACGCAAACACUGCGAAGAAUUGAAGAGAGUGUGUGAAGACACAAAAACCCUUUUAGGUAGGAGAUACACAAACACUGCGUAAAACUAAAGAGUGUGUGAAGAUAUGAUUUCCCUAUUAAAUGGUGCACUAAAUCUACGUAAAACUACGUUGCGUAAAGACACAUUCCCUAUUAAAUGAUACGCAAACACUGCGAAGAAUUGAAGAGAGUGUGUGAAGACACAAAAGCCCUUUUAGGUAGGAGGUACACAAACACUGCGAAAACUAAAGAGUGUGUGAAAAUCUGAUUUCCCUAUUAAAUGGUGCACUAAAUCUAUGUAAAACUACGUUGCGUAAAAACACAUUCCCAUUAAAUGAUACGCAAACAGUGCGAAGAAUUGAAGAGAGUGUGUGAAGACACAAAAACCCUUUUAGGUAGGAGAUACACAAACACUGCGUAAAACUAAAGAGUGUGUGAAGAUAUGAUUUCCCUAUUAAAUGGUGCACUAAAUCUACGUAAAACUACGUUGCGUAAAAACACAUUCCCUAUUAAAUGAUACGCAAACAGUGCGAAGAAUUGAAGAGAGUGUGUGAAGACACAAUAACCCUUUUAGGUAGAAGGUACACAAACACUGCGUAAAACUAAAGUGUGUGUGAAGAUAUGAUUUCCUUAUUAAAUGGUACACAUAAACGUCAAAUUAAGGAGUGUGUGAAGACACAAAAACCCUUUUAGGUAGGAGGUACACAAACACUGCGUAAUACUAAAGAGUGUAUGAAUACAUAAUGUCCCCAUUAGGUAGGAGGUGCAUAAACACUGCGUAAAACUCAAGAGUGUGUGAAUAUAUGAUUUCCCUAUUAAAUAGUGCACUAAAUCUACGUAAAACUACGUGCGUAAAAACACAUUCCCCAUUAAAUGAUACGCAAACACUGCGAAGAAUUGAAGAGAGUGUGUGAAGACACAAUAACCCUUUUAGGUAGGAGAUACACAAACACUGCGAAUAACUAAAGAGUGUAUAAAGAUAUAACUUCCCUAUUAAAUGGUACACAUAAACUACGUCAAAUUAAGGAGUGUGUGAAGACACAAUAUCCCUAUUAGGUAGUAGGUACACAAACACUGCGAAUAACUAAAGAGUGUAUAAAGAUAUAACUUCCCUAUUAAAUGGUACACAUAAACUACGUCAAAUUAAGGAGUGUGUGAAGACACAAUAUCCCUAUUAGGUAGUAGGUACACAAACACUGCGAAUAACUAAAGAGUGUAUAAAGAUAUAACUUCCCUAUUAAAUGGUACACAUAAACUACGUCAAAUUAAGGAGUGUGUGAAGACACAAUAACCCUUUUAGGUAGAAGGUACACAAACACUGCGUAAUACUAAAGAGUGUAUGAAUACAUAAUGUCUCCAUUAGGUAGGAGGUGCAUAAACACUGCGUAAAUCUACAGAGUGUGUGAAUAUAUGAUUUCCCUAUUAAAUAGUGCACUAAAUCUACGUAAAACUACGUGCGUAAAAACACAUUCCCCAUUAAAUGAUACGCAAACACUGCGAAGAAUUGAAGAGAGUGUGUGAAGACACAAUAUCCCUAUUAAGUAGGUGGUACACAAACAUUGCGUAAUACUAAAGAGUGUGUGAAUACAUAAUGUCCCCAUUAGGUAGGUGGUACACAAACACUGCGAAUAACUAAAGAGUGUAUAAAGAUAUAACUUCCCUAUUAAAUGGUACACAUAAACUACGUCAAAUUAAGGAGUGUGUGAAGACACAAUAUCCCUAUUAGGUAGUAGGUACACAAACACUGCGUAAAACUAAAGAGUUUGUAAAGAUAUAACUUCCCUAUUAAAUGGUACACAUAAACGUCAAAUUAAGGAGUGUGUGAAGACACAAAAACCCUUUUAGGUAGGAGGUACACAAACACUGCGUAAAACUCAAGAGUGUGUGAAGAUAUGAUUUCCCUAUUAAAUGGUGCACUAAAUCUACGUAAAACUACGUUGCGUGAAAACACAUUCCCUAUUAAAUGAUACGCAAACCCUGCGAAGAAUUGAAGAGAGUGUGUGAAGACACAAUAUCCCCAUUAAGUAGGUGGUACACAAACAUUGCGUAAUACUAAAUAGUGUAUGAAUACAUAAUGUCCCCAUUAGGUAGGAGGUACACAAACACUGCGUAAAACUAAAGAGUGUAUGAAUACAUAAUGUCCCCAUUAGGUAGGAGGUGCAUGAACACUGCGUAAAACUCAAGAGUGUGUGAAGAUAUAAUUUCCCUAUUAAAUAGUGCACUAAAUCUACGGAAAACUAAGGAGUGUGUGAAGACACAAAAACCCUUUUAGGUAGGAGGUACACAAACACUGCGUAAAACUAAAGAGUGUGUGAAGACACAAUAUCCCCAUUAAGUAGGUGGUACACAAACAUUGCGUAAUACUAAAGAGUGUAUGAAUACAUAAUGUCCCCAUUAGGUAGGAGGUGCAUAAACACUGCGUAAAACUACAGAGUGUGUGAAGAUAUAAUUUCCCUAUUAAAUGGUGCACUAAAUGUACGGAAAACUAAGGAGUGUGUGAAGACACAAAAACCCUUUUAGGUAGGAGGUACACAAACACUACGUAAAACUAAAGAGUGUGUGAAGAUAUAAUUUCCCUAUUAAAUGGUGCACUAAAUCUACGUAAAACUACGUUGCGUGAAAACACAUUCCCUAUUAAAUGAUACGCAAACCCUGCGAAGAAUUGAAGAGAGUGUGUGAAGACACAAUAUCCCCAUUAAGUAGGUGGUACACAAACAUUGCGUAAUACUAAAUAGUGUAUGAAUACAUAAUGUCCCCAUUAGGUAGGUGGUACACAAACACUGCGAAUAACUAAAGAGUGUAUAAAGAUAUAACUUCCCUAUUAAAUGGUACACAUAAACUACGUCAAAUUAAGGAGUGUGUGAAGACACAAUAUCCCUAUUAGGUAGUAGGUACACAAACACUGCGUAAAACUAAAGAGUUUGUAAAGAUAUAACUUCCCUAUUAAAUGGUACACAUAAACGUCAAAUUAAGGAGUGUGUGAAGACACAAAAACCCUUUUAGGUAGGAGGUACACAAACACUACGUAAAACUAAAGAGUGUGUGAAGAUAUAAUUUCCCUAUUAAAUGGUGCACUAAAUCUACGUAAAACUACGUUGCGUGAAAACACAUUCCCUAUUAAAUGAUACGCAAACCCUGCGAAGAAUUGAAGAGAGUGUGUGAAGACACAAUAUCCCCAUUAAGUAGGUGGUACACAAACAUUGCGUAAUACUAAAUAGUGUAUGAAUACAUAAUGUCCCCAUUAGGUAGGAGGUGCAUAAACACUGCGUAAAACUACAGAGUGUGUGAAGAUAUAAUUUCCCUAUUAAAUGGUGCACUAAAUGUACGGAAAACUAAGGAGUGUGUGAAGACACAAAAACCCUUUUAGGUAGGAGGUACACAAACACUGCGUAAAACUAAAGAGUGUGUGAAGAUAUAAUUUCCCUAUUAAAUGGUGCACUAAAUCUACG
rnacentral:sRNA from 1 species